CUGCAAGCCCUGGAUGGCGUGUUGAACGGUCUGCGCAAACAAGGGCUAGAUUUUAGCCGUGUCAAGGGAAUC